rnacentral:rRNA from 1 species
UAGAGUAGCAAUACUUGAGACCGGCGCACGGGUGCGUAACGCGUAUGCAACCUACCUUUUACAGGGGAAUAGCCCAGAGAAAUUUGGAUUAAUGCCCCAUGGUAUAUUUGAGUGGCAUCACUUGAUUAUUAAAGUUCCAACGGUAAAAGAUGGGCAUGCGUCCUAUUAGCUUGAUGGUAAGGUAACGGCUUACCAUGGCUACGAUAGGUAGGGGUCCUGAGAGGGAGAUCCCCCACACUGGUACUGAGACACGGACCAGACUCCUACGGGAGGCAGCAGUGAGGAAUAUUGGACAAUGGGCGCAAGCCUGAUCCAGCCAUGCCGCGUGCAGGAAGAAGCAUCUAUGGUGUGUAAACUGCUUUUGUACGGGAAGAAACACUCCUACGUGUAGGAGCUUGACGGUACCGUAAGAAUAAGGAUCGGCUAACUCCGUGCCAGCAGCCGCGGUAAUACGGAGGAUCCAAGCGUUAUCCGGAAUCAUUGGGUUUAAAGGGUCCGUAGGCGGUUUGGUAAGUCAGUGGUGA